rnacentral:rRNA from 1 species
AGUAAUGUCUGGGAAACUGCCUGAUGGAGGGGGAUAACUACUGGAAACGGUAGCUAAUACCGCAUAAUGUCGCAAGACCAAAGUGGGGGACCUUCGGGCCUCAUGCCAUCAGAUGUGCCCAGAUGGGAUUAGCUAGUAGGUGGGGUAACGGCUCACCUAGGCGACGAUCCCUAGCUGGUCUGAGAGGAUGACCAGCCACACUGGAACUGAGACACGGUCCAGACUCCUACGGGAGGCAGCAGUGGGGAAUAUUGCACAAUGGGCGCAAGCCUGAUGCAGCCAUGCCGCGUGUGUGAAGAAGGCCUUCGGGUUGUAAAGCACUUUCAGCGGGGAGGAAGGCGUUAAGGUUAAUAACCUUGUCGAUUGACGUUACCCGCAGAAGAAGCACCGGCUAACUCCGUGCCAGCAGCCGCGGUAAUACGGAGGGUGCAAGCGUUAAUCGGAAUUACUGGGCGUAAAGCGCACGCAGGCGGUCUGUCAAGUCGGAUGUGAAAUCCCCGGGCUCAACCUGGGAACUGCAUU